UACGUAUUGUGCGAACGUUAUUCGGAAUCACUGGGCUUAAAGGGUGUGUAGGCGGCCGGACAAGUAGGGUGUGAAAGGCCUCGGCUCAACCGGGGCAUUGCGCUCUAGACUGUCUGGCUCGAGCAAGAUAGGGGUGUGUGGAACUUCCAGUGGAGCGGUGAAAUGUGUUGAUAUUGGAAGGAACGCCGGUGGCGAAAGCGGCACACUGGGUCUUGUCUGACGCUGAGACACGAAAGCCAGGGGAGCGAGCGGG
rnacentral:rRNA from 1 species